GACUCCCUGGCAUGUACGCCAGCCGGUGCUGUCCCUCUCCCGAUACGCAAAAAAACGGGGACUGUGCGUGAGACCGGUGUGCAUGUCCGCCUGACGGAAAGCCUUAUGGUUUCCGGCAGUCACCACCUUGAACUUUCGGGUUCAAGGGCCUACGCCAGCAGCGGCAUGCCGGGGAGCUC
rnacentral:other from 1 species